rnacentral:rRNA from 1 species
UGGGGGUGAAAGGCCAAUCAAACCGGGAGAUAGCUGGUUCUCCCCGAAAGCUAUUUAGGUAGCGCCUCGUGAAUUCAUCUCCGGGGGUAGAGCACUGUUUCGGCAAGGGGGUCAUCCCGACUUACCAACCCGAUGCAAACUGCGAAUACCGGAGAAUGUUAUCACGGGAGACACACGGCGGGUGCUAACGUCCGUCGUGAAGAGGGAAACAACCCAGACCGCCAGCUAAGGUCCCAAAGUCAUGGUUAAGUGGGAAACGAUGUGGGAAGGCCCAGACAGCCAGGAUGUUGGCUUAGAAGCAGCCAUCAUUUAAAGAAAGCGUAAUAGCUCACUGGUCGAGUCGGCCUGCGCGGAAGAUGUAACGGGGCUAAACCAUGCACCGAAGCUGCGGCAGCGACGCUGAUGCGUUGUUGGGUAGGGGAGCGUUCUGUAAGCCUGUGAAGGUGUGCUGUGAGGCAUGCUGGAGGUAUCAGAAGUGCGAAUGCUGACAUAAGUAACGAUAAAGCGGGUGAAAAGCCCGCUCGCCGGAAGACCAAGGGUUCCUGUCCAACGUUAAUCGGGGCAGGGUGAGUCGACCCCUAAGGCGAGGCCGAAAGGCGUAGUCGAUGGGAAACAGGUUAAUAUUCCUGUACUUGGUGUUACUGCGAAGGGGGGACGGAGAAGGCUAUGUUGGCCGGGCGACGGUUGUCCCGGUUUAAGCGUGUAGGCUGGUUUUCCAGGCAAAUCCGGAAAACUAAGGCUGAGGCGUGAUGACGAGGCACUACGGUGCUGAAGCAACAAAUGCCCUGCUUCCAGGAAAAGCCUCUAAGCAUCAGGUAACAUCAAAUCGUACCCCAAACCGACACAGGUGGUCAGGUAGAGAAUACCAAGGCGCUUGAGAGAACUCGGGUGAAGGAACUAGGCAAAAUGGUGCCGUAACUUCGGGAGAAGGCACGCUGAUAUGUAGGUGAAGUCCCUCGCGGAUGGAGCUGAAAUCAGUCGAAGAUACCAGCUGGCUGCAACUGUUUAUUAAAAACACAGCACUGUGCAAACACGAAAGUGGACGUAUACGGUGUGACGCCUGCCCGGUGCCGGAAGGUUAAUUGAUGGGGUCAGCGCAAGCGAAGCUCUUGAUCGAAGCCCCGGUAAACGGCGGCCGUAACUAUAACGGUCCUAAGGUAGCGAAAUUCCUUGUCGGGUAAGUUCCGACCUGCACGAAUGGCGUAAUGAUGGCCAGGCUGUCUCCACCCGAGACUCAGUGAAAUUGAACUCGCUGUGAAGAUGCAGUGUACCCGCGGCAAGACGGAAAGACCCCGUGAACCUUUACUAUAGCUUGACACUGAACAUUGAGCCUUGAUGUGUAGGAUAGGUGGGAGGCUUUGAAGUGUGGACGCCAGUCUGCAUGGAGCCGACCUUGAAAUACCACCCUUUAAUGUUUGAUGUUCUAACGUUGACCCGUAAUCCGGGUUGCGGACAGUGUCUGGUGGGUAGUUUGACUGGGGCGGUCUCCUCCUAAAGAGUAACGGAGGAGCACGAAGGUUGGCUAAUCCUGGUCGGACAUCAGGAGGUUAGUGCAAUGGCAUAAGCCAGCUUGACUGCGAGCGUGACGGCGCGAGCAGGUGCGAAAGCAGGUCAUAGUGAUCCGGUGGUUCUGAAUGGAAGGGCCAUCGCUCAACGGAUAAAAGGUACUCCGGGGAUAACAGGCUGAUACCGCCCAAGAGUUCAUAUCGACGGCGGUGUUUGGCACCUCGAUGUCGGCUCAUCACAUCCUGGGGCUGAAGUAGGUCCCAAGGGUAUGGCUGUUCGCCAUUUAAAGUGGUACGCGAGCUGGGUUUAGAACGUCGUGAGACAGUUCGGUCCCUAUCUGCCGUGGGCGCUGGAGAACUGAGGGGGGCUGCUCCUAGUACGAGAGGACCGGAGUGGACGCAUCACUGGUGUUCGGGUUGUCAUGCCAAUGGCACUGCCCGGUAGCUAAAUGCGGAAGAGAUAAGUGCUGAAAGCAUCUAAGCACGAAACUUGCCCCGAGAUGAGUUCUCCCUGACUCCUUGAGAGUCCUGAAGGAACGUUGAAG